GCGGGAUUAGCUCAGCGGUAGAGCAGGGCUUUUACACAGCCAAGGUCGGGAGUUCAAUCCUCUCAUCCCGCACCA
rnacentral:tRNA from 1 species